rnacentral:misc_RNA from 1 species
AAGAUCGAAAAAGCAAAAAAUCCUGUUCUUCGGAGCAGGUCGUCGGCUGGGCCCGUCUUUCGAGACGGUGCUGCCUUCGUACUUUAAAAAAAAAUCCUGUCUCUUCGCGGAGAUAGGUCGAAGGCUUGGCCAGCGCAAGCGGUGCUGCCAUCGUACUUUUUAAAAAUCCGGUCUCUUCACGGAGAGCGGUCGAAGGCUGGGCCCGCCUUUUCAGGCGGUGCUGCCGUCGUACUUUAAUAAGAGGCGUGCGAGUUGCGCAUCUUUUUUUAAAAAAAAAAAUUCAACCGAAA